AACGCAUAUUGCGCUCUUUGGUAUUCCGAAGAGCAUGCUUGUUUGAGUAUCAGUAAACACCUCAAAGUCUUUUUUUCUUGAAGAAAAGACCUUGGACUUGAGCAAUCCCAACUCUUCUUUCAGAAGAGGCGGGUUGCUUGAAAUGCAGGUGCAGCUGGACAUUCUCCUGAGCUAAAAGCAUAUUCAUUUAGUCCCGUCAAACGGAUUAUUACUUUUGCUGCAGCUAACAUAAAGGGAGUUUGACCAUUUUGGCUGACUGAUGCAGGAAUUUCACAAGAGUCUUCAAAACGCUCUUGUUAAACUCGAUCUCAAAUCAAGUAAGACUACCCGCUGAACUUAA
rnacentral:misc_RNA from 1 species